GGGGAUAUAGCUCAAUUGGUGGAGUGCUUGCCUUGGAUGCAUAAAGCCCUAGGUUCAAUCCCCAGCACCACCA
rfam:Ictidomys tridecemlineatus contig039428, whole genome shotgun sequence.